GACGAACGCUGGCGGCGUGCUUAACACAUGCAAGUCGAACGGAAAGGCCUCUUUCGGGGGGUACUCGAGUGGCGAACGGGUGAGUAACACGUGAGUAACCUGCCCUUGACUUUGGGAUAACUUCAGGAAACUGGGGCUAAUACCGGAUAGGAGCUCCUGCUGCAUGGUGGGGGUUGGAAAGUUUCGGCGGUUGGGGAUGGACUCGCGGCUUAUCAGCUUGUUGGUGGGGUAGUGGCUUACCAAGGCUUUGACGGGUAGCCGGCCUGAGAGGGUGACCGGCCACAUUGGGACUGAGAUACGGCCCAGACUCCUACGGGAGGCAGAAGUGGGGAAUAUUGCACAAUGGGUGGAAGCCUGAUGCAGCAACGCCGUGUGCGGGAUGACGGUCUUCGGGUUGUAAACCGCUUUCGCUCAUGACGAAGCUUUGUGUGACGGUAGUGGGUAAAGAAGCACCGGCUAACUACGUG
rnacentral:rRNA from 1 species